rnacentral:lncRNA from 1 species
CUACUGAAUCAUUCAACAGUCUGUCUGUUUGCUCUCUAGCCAAAGAAAAUAACCUAUAAAACAAGGACUUAGGAAUCAACUGCAAACGGGGUUUCCACCUAGUUUGUAACAUCUCCACCUGCCUUGUAUCUUCCUGCAGACACAAUGGGAAAUGGGAGCAAUUGCUGGUUAUGUGUGCGUGGCACUUCUGGGUGCUGGGCUCCACUGCUUUUGCCUUUCUUCCAGCAGUGUAACUCAAGGUGACUACAGGUCAGCUUGCAGCAGCUGCUACCAUCUUAUUGAGCUUCGCCAUCCCAUGGGAGGAGGACCAGAGCCAGAGCGUUCCCUGCGCUUGCCAGGUCUUUAAGUGAAGCUUGGAAGAUCUACAAUGUGAAGCUCAGAGGAUCAUCUUCAGAAUGUUAUUCCUUUACUUAUAAACCUCAAACAAUGGCAAGUGAGGCAUAUUCUUAAAACUUAUGGGAAUAUCCCCCAAAAGUGAAGUUUCUUAGUGAAUAUAUAGCUUUUCUGAUGGCAAUCUAAUCACCUGAUAAGCAAAGUGUUUUAAAUACCACAAUCUGACCAAUACGUAUUAGCUGCAUGGAUACAAUGUAUUCCUGUCUGAUAUCUAGCAUUUUUAUCUGGUAUCUAUUAUUGCACAACCUUGCAAAUCUUGCUGGUUAGGAAACUGAGACACAGGGAAGAAACAUUUGUCAAGGGAUGCAUGGAGAGUUGUUGACUGUAGGCACACACAAGGCCAACACUGCCACAUUUUCACAAGCCUUCUUUGCAAAGCUAAGCCUUGUCUGUGACCCUUUGUUCUUUAUUUCACCUGGAGUCAUACCACAAUGCCACACAGCGUAAGCAGCUUUUAAAGAGGACCAAGUAUCUGUGAGGACUCACAGCAUUGUAUCUGUUCGUGAUACUCAGAUGUGCAUCAGAACGUAGCAAACCAGGCACAACACAACUGGAAGGUUAAAGCUAAAACCACUUCAAGGUUAAGGCAACACUCAACUCUGCAAAUACGUAGCAGGCAAUUUGCAAAGAUAGCCUUGCUAAUGAGAAAUCAGUUCUUCCUGCAUUGUGUAUUUCUAUAUUGUUCUAAUAUUUCCAGAGAGCACAGCAAUGAAAAACAUGUCUCCUGACAUUCAGUAGAGCCAUGGCUUAAGGUGAUGCCAGAAAUUGGCCUGUCAUUGUUCUGAUGGAUUUCAUUACAUCCUGGUGUGACACGACACAAAGACGCAUUGCACAUCUGCCUCAAAGUCCAACAUUUUGAAGCAUUUUUUUAGCCUAAAGAAACACAUGUGCAGUUUACCCAUGUUCAGGAGCUCAGCAUAACACCAAAGAGCUGCCUCUGUUGCUUUCCAGGC